GCCCCACCCAUCCUCUGCCGGUACCUCAUAGAUGCCGAAGCCAAUGGUGUGCAUGUCCUCGCCCAUCUUCCUCUGCCGUCGCCGGUGCUUCUGGAUGAGACCCACCAGGAAGGUCCCAGGCAUCAGGCUUGGCGCCAAGCAUCGUUACCUACUGGGCCAUCUCACUAGCCUGUGGGGUGUGUUUUACCCCAGAGGGCCCAAUAGCAGAGUGAACGUGAGCUGGAAAAGGAAGGAGGGACCACGGACCGGACCAUGAGCUGAUCCAGAGAGUAAAAGAACGCCUGCAGCUGCCUCGGUGACCAGCAGAGGGCAGCGCGCGCCAGGCAGCUGCCGCCCUGGAGGCCCCACCCCGGACAGCCACGUGCUAGCAGGGGGCGUACCUCCUCGGCUCCGGUGACAGAGUACGCAUGUCCUUUCACCAACUUCUGUGAGUGCAUCAGCACCAGCACCAGCACCAGCACCAGCACCAGCACCAGCACCUGAGGCUCCCGCUGCAGAGGGCUGACAUCCGGGGUGGACCCAGCACAACUUUGGGCCAGCUGGGUGAUACACAGCUAGGAUUAGAACCAAGAAGCCAUUCUUACCAGCCACCUGAUUUAUUCUGGGUGAGUUUCUACAGUUUUUCUACCCCUGCAAUGGGUAGCUUUGCCCACUGGCAGAAGCUUUUGGUCUUUUCAGCUAAGAGGCAAUGGGGGCCCACCAGAGAAGCAGAGUUCUUUCUCAAGGCCAGAGCAGACAGCCCCAGAAUGUCCCAGUUCACUUGCUCAGAAAGAGCAAUGACUGUCCUGUACCAGUACAUCAUGUGAACAGCCACCAUACCCAUAUUACCUCCUUGAAUUAAGAGCCAAAUUUGGGCCAAAGUCAUCCUUUUAUAGAACAGAAUGUCUAUUCAAAACAGUCCCCGAAAUAGCUCCCGCUGUUUUGGAGUCCAGGGCAGCAGAGGCAAGAUGGGGUGUUGGGGAAGGGCGUGGUUACUUACUUGGCAUAGGCUUUCUCCAGAAGGGCACUCCAGAACUCACUCCCUUCAGCUGAAUGCACAAAGAGCAGCUCCCCGUCCUUAGUGGGCAGCCUGUCGUCCACCACCACCUCCACCCACUCGCCAUAUUGCCAGAACUGCAAGGCAAGAGGGACAAGAUAGGGUGACACUGGGACUCUGAGCCUUGGCCUCAUCCGGUUCUCCCCAGCCCAGCCCCUUGCUGUGGGUUCCUAUGAUGCUCUUCGGUGUCCUAUGUUAAGUGUGCCCCUCACCAAGCAAGAAGCCAGCGGAGCUCAUCUGUGUCUCCAAAGCCGCAUGCACUUCUUUAAAAAAAUAUCAUCUCUCACUUGCUAUCAUAAAAAGAUUUUUAACCUUUUAUCUCAACCCUCAAAUAAUAAACAUAAAAAAAAACCCU
rnacentral:lncRNA from 1 species